rnacentral:rRNA from 1 species
GACAGAGGAUGCAAGCGUUAUCCGGAAUGAUUGGGCGUAAAGCGUCUGUAGGUGGCUUUUUAAGUCCGCCGUCAAAUCCCAGGGCUCAACCCUGGACAGGCGGUGGAAACUACCAAGCUGGAGUACGGUAGGGGCAGAGGGAAUUUCCGGUGGAGCGGUGAAAUGCGUAGAGAUGUGGAGGAACACCGAUGGCGAAGGCAGCCCCCUGGGUCGAAGAUUGACGCUCAUGCACGAAAGCGUGGGGAGCAAACAAGGAUAGAGUACCCGUGA